UUGACCUCGGAAAGCGGAGGACCGGGAAACA
rnacentral:rRNA from 1 species